rnacentral:rRNA from 1 species
ACAGCAGUCGCCGCGGGAAAACGUAGGGUGCAAGCGUUGUCCGGAAUUAUUGGGCGUAAAGAGCUCGUAGGCGGUUUGUCGCGUCUGCUGUGAAAACUGGAGGCUCAACCUCCAGCCUGCAGUGGGUACGGGCAGACUAGAGUGCGGUAGGGGAGAUUGGAAUUCCUGGUGUAGCGGUGGAAUGCGCAGAUAUCAGGAGGAACACCGAUGGCGAAGGCAGAUCUCUGGGCCGUAACUGACGCUGAGGAGCGAAAGCGUGGGGAGCGAACAGGAUUAGAUACCCCGGUAGUCCCUGUCUCUUAUAC